UACAGAGGUCCCAAGCGUUGUUCGGAUUCACUGGGCGUAAAGGGUGCGUAGGUGGUGGGGUAAGUCGGAUGUGAAAGCUCGGAGCUCAACUCCGAAAUGGCAUUGGAAACUACCCCGCUAGAGGGUCGGAGGGGGGACUGGAAUACUUGGUGUAGCAGUGAAAUGCGUAGAUAUCAAGUGGAACACCAGUGGCGAAGGCGAGUCCCUGGACGACUCCUGACACUGAGGCACGAAAGCUAGGGGAG
rnacentral:rRNA from 1 species